rnacentral:rRNA from 1 species
AUACGGAGGGUGCAAGCGUUAUUCGGAAUCACUGGGCGUAAAGGACGCGUAGGCGGGUUGGCAAGUCAGAUGAGAAAUCCUACAGCUUAACUGUAGAACUGUAUUUGAAACUGCUAACCUAGAGUAUGGGAGGGGGAGAUGGAAUUAGUGGUGUAGGAGUAAAAUCCGUAGAUAUCACUAGGAAUACCGAAAGCGAAGGCGAUCUCCUGGAACAUAACUGACGCUAAGGCGUGAAAGCGUGGGGAGCAAACAGGAUUAGAAACCCUAGUAGUCC